CCCCUCUCAGGGUUGCACCUGGAGAGUUUCCAGUCCUCUACCAGUCUCGACUAUGGGAGGGAAAGUCAAGCAGAGACCUAUCCAGUCCAUUCUUAGCUUGGUCAGUGGCGAGCGAGUGGAAGGCAAUCUGCUACAAAU